rnacentral:rRNA from 1 species
GGGAAUUUUCCGCAAUGGGCGAAAGCCUGACGGAGCAACGCCGCGUGAGGGAGGAAGGUCUUUGGAUUGUAAACCUCUUUUCUCAAGGAAGAAGUUCUGACGGUACUUGAGGAAUCAGCCUCGGCUAACUCCGUGCCAGCAGCCGCGGUAAUACGGGGGAGGCAAGCGUUAUCCGGAAUUAUUGGGCGUAAAGCGUCCGCAGGUGGUCAGCCAAGUCUGCCGUCAAAUCAGGUUGCUUAACGACCUAAAGGCGGUGGAAACUGGCAGACUAGAGAGCAGUAGGGGUAGCAGGAAUUCCCAGUGUAGCGGUGAAAUGCGUAGAGAUUGGGAAGAACAUCGGUGGCGAAAGCGUGCUACUGGGCUGUAUCUGACACUCAGGGACGAAAGCUAGGGGAGCGAAAGGGAUUAGAUACCCCUGUAGUC